CCUACGGGUGGCUGCAGUGGGGGAUAUUGCACAAUGGGGGGAACCCUGAUGCAGCGACGCCGCGUGGGUGAAGAAGUGCUUCGGUGUGUAAAGCUCUGUCAGCAGGGAAGAAAAUGACGGUACCUGAGGAAGAAGCCCCGGCUAACUACGUGCCAGCAGCCGCGGUAAUACGUAGGGGGCAAGUGUUAUCCGGAUUUACUGGGUGUAAAGGGAGCGUAGACGGCGGUGCAAGUCUGGAGUGAAAGGCGGGGGCCCAACCCCCGGACUGCUCUGGAAACUGUGCGGCUGGAGUGCAGGAGAGGAAGGUGGAAUUCCUGGUGUAGCGGUGAAAUGCGUAGAUAUCAGGAGGAACACCAGUGGCGAAGGCGGCUUACUGGACUGUAACUGACGUUGAGGCUCGAAAGCGUGGGGAGCAAACAGGAUUAGAUACCCGUGUAGUC
rnacentral:rRNA from 1 species